GGAAAACAGCUUCACAGAGUGAAGAGAGUUACCAGAAAUUAGUUAUUUGGCCAAUAGUUACAGAGUCGGUACAUCCUAAAUAAACAAAAACAUGCCCUUACCUCACCUAAAUUCCUUUGUGAAGGCGACUGAGUUUUGUCUGAAUCCAGCUGAAGCCAAACUUCCACCUGUCAACUGACCUCUCUGCCCUGUGUGUGUGCUCUGCCCUGCCCUCUGUCUGACAGGCUCCAGUGGACAGCAGAGGACAGAGACAGACAGCACUGCAUCCUGGCUGUUGGGUUUAUUUUAGUCCAGACCUUACAGGUAGACUGCCAAAAGGUUGACGCCCAGAACCAAAUGGCAUACUUGCGGUCGGUGUGGUGCAGUAUGAGUGACAGGCCAGGGACAUAUGAUGGGUGUGUGUGUAAGCCAUCACACUCAUGAUGACAAGAUGGAAAGAAAAAAGGAGAGACACAAGGAGCCAACUGAGGCUGAUGAGAAAAAGACUGAAGAAAUGAACAAAAAUACUUCAGAUGCAUCUAAUAAACCUUAAACAUGUGAAAA